AGUGAACGCUGGCGGUGGGCCUAACACAUGCAAGUCGAACGGCAGCACAGUAAGAGCUUGCUCUUACGGGUGGCGAGUGGCGGACGGGUGAGGAAUACAUCGGAAUCUACUUUUUCGUGGGGGAUAACGUAGGGAAACUUACGCUAAUACCGCAUACGACCUACGGGUGAAAGCAGGGGAUCUUCGGACCUUGCGCGAGUGAAUGAGCCGAUGUCGGAUUAGCUAGUUGGCGGGGUAAAGGCCCACCCAGGCGACGAUCCGUAGCUGGUCUGAGAGGAUGGUCAGCCACACUGGAACUGAGACACGGUCCAGACUCCUACGGGAGGCAGCAGUGGGGAAUAUUGGACAAUGGGCGCAAGCCUGAUCCAGCCGUACCGCGUGGGUGAAGAAGGCCUUCGGGUUGUAAAGCCCUUUUGUUGGGAAAGAAAAGCAGCAGGUUAAUACCCCGCUGUUCUGACGGUACCCAAUGAAUAAGCACCGGCUAACUUCGUG
rnacentral:rRNA from 1 species